rnacentral:rRNA from 1 species
UUAUUUUAUUAGGUUUUUUUAUUAAAUAUUUUUUUAAAGUUAAUAUUGAUUGAAUUAGUAUAAUUUUUAUUUAUUUUAGUAUGAAUUCGAAAAAAAUUUAGUAUUCAACUGUUUAUCAAGAACAUUUCUUUUAGUAAAAUUUUAAAGGUAAAUUCUGCUCAAUGAUUUAUUUUAAAUAGCUGCAGUAUUUUGACUGUACAAAGGUAGCAUAAUAAUUAGUUCAUUAAUUGUGAACUGGAAUGAAUGAAUAUAUGAAAUACUCUUUUUAUUUAUUUUAAAAUUAAAAUUUUAUUUUUAAGUUAAAAAGCUUAAUUGAUUUUUAGGGACGAUAAGACCCUAUAGAGGUUUAAUUAUUUUUAUAUAAUAAAUUUUUAUUGUUUAUGUUAUAAGAUUUUUAUGUUCUUAUUAUUUUUUCUGGGGCGGAAUAUAAAUUUAAACUUUAUUUUUUUUUUUCAUUUAUUUAUGAUUAUGUUGAUCCAUUUUUAAAUUGUUUUGAUUAUAAGAAAUAGCUACCUUAGGGAUAACAGCGUAAUUUCAAUGGGGAGUUCUUAUUUAUAUUGAAGUUUGCGACCUCGAUGUUGAAUUAAGAUUAGAUUUUGGGGUAGUUUUUAAUUUUCUAAGUCUGUUCGACUUUUAAAUUCUUACAUGAUCUGAGUUCAGACCGGUGUAAGCCAGGUUGGUUUCUAUCUUAAAAUUCUUUAAUUAAAUUAGUACGAAAGGACCAUUUAAUUCAAUAAUAAAUUGUUAUGUUAGAAUAGUUGAUUUGGCAGAAAUUUUUAAUGCAUUAAAUUUAGAAUUUAAUUAUAUAAUAUAUAUUAUAUUCAAUAAUUUUUAUAUUAACUUUAUUUGUUUUAAUAUUAAUAGUAUUGGUUUCUGUUGGCUUCUUUACUUUGUUAGAGCGUAAGGUUUUAAGUUAUUGUCAGAUUCGCCUAGGUCCAAAUAAGGUUG